UUAAAUGGCAGAAUGUCGUGUGAUUAAGACAGACAUGGAAUUGGAAGUUCUGCGCUACACCAAUAAAAUCUCCAGUGAAGCUCAUAAAGAGGUAAUGAAAGCAGUAAAAGCUGGUAUGAAAGAAUAUGAGCUGGAGAGGUAAGAAUUAUUUCAAUAAAUGUAAUAAAAAUGGAAAGGUCUGUUUGUAUUAGGAGU